rnacentral:rRNA from 1 species
AUUGAGCGCUGGCGGCAGGCCUAACACAUGCAAGUCGAACGGUAACAGGAAGCAGCUUGCUGCUUCGCUGACGAGUGGCGGACGGGUGAGUAAUGUCUGGGAAGCUGCCUGAUGGAGGGGGAUAACUACUGGAAACGGUAGCUAAUACCGCAUAAUGUCGCAAGACCAAAGAGGGGGACCUUCGGGCCUCUUGCCAUCGGAUGUGCCCAGAUGGGAUUAGCUUGUUGGUGGGGUAACGGCUCACCAAGGCGACGAUCCCUAGCUGGUCUGAGAGGAUGACCAGCCACACUGGAACUGAGACACGGUCCAGACUCCUACGGGAGGCAGCAGUGGGGAAUAUUGCACAAUGGGCGCAAGCCUGAUGCAGCCAUGCCGCGUGUACGAAGAAGGCCUUCGGGUUGUAAAGUACUUUCAGCGGGGAGGAGGGGAGUAAAGUUAAUACCUUUGCUCAUUGACGUUACCCGCAGAAGAAGCACCGGCUAACUCCGUG